rnacentral:lncRNA from 1 species
CGUAUCCACUGAUCUUUGAUACCUUGCAGCAAUAUCCCGCUUCGUCUUAUCUUGACCAACAGUCUCAAGAAACAUCGCCACAGAUUCUUCAAGGUAGACAUGGUGAGUUUCUUUCAAUCCAUAUCGCUCAGCUAGCAUCUUGCACAAAGCUUCAGAAAAAAAAAGAGUCAUUAACUAAAACAUUUAAUACGGUAAACGACCUCUACCUUUAUAUGCUUCUGCAUUUUGACUUGGAGGGCGAACCAGCACAUGAGUUCCAUCGAGUGCUCCAACACAAUCUCUGAAAUGAGGCCAAUACCGAUCAUCAUUCCUCAAAACAGGACUCACUCUUCCAAACUCGCCUUCUUGUGGUCUUAAUGUAUCCUGUGCAAACUUGAGAAGAGCACUCAAAACUUCAUCAAGCUUCCUUUGGACCGUAUCCACUGAUCUUUGAUACCUUGCAGCAAUAUCCCGCUUCGUCUUAUCUUGACCAACAGUCUCGAGAAACAUCGCCACAGAUUCUUCAAGGUAGACAUGGUGAGUUUCUUUCAAUCCAUAUCGCUCAGCUAGCAUCUUGCACAAAGCUUCAAAAGUCCUUUGAUUCAUUCGAAGAAUGUCAUAACAUUGCUGAUCAGAUUCAUACAUAAGUUGUUGAACAUGUCGCCAUCCUGCUCCUCGAUCUGUUCUAUGACUCAAUCUCUCGGUAAUAGGCACAUCAAACAAACCAAGUUCAUCAUCAUAAUCACCAUCCUCAUCUUCCAAAAUCCAUCUUUCAAGCAUCUACAACACAAUAUUAAAUAAAUCAUCA